CCUGCCUUCUUGCAGCCGACCGCGAGUGCGAUGGGACGCUUCGUUCCGAAGAUCUCCAGAUUGGGGCUCGACAUAUUCGGUGGGUUGUAUCGCAUAGCCGAGGUGCGGCGACUCGGUCACCCUACGUCAGUAACACGUCGUUCUACUCUCUCGCUCCCCCCGUGUGGGUGAGAAGGAGCGGCCUCUUACUACGUCCUAUGCGCCACUUGCGGCCGCACGCCUUGUGCGCGUGACACGCCGCGCCGUUCGACCCUUGGGACGGUCGUGUGCUUAGGGAUGCAGUGAAUCGGAGGGGGUCGGGUGCCCCGUGCGGCUCCCGGCCCGACAGACGGGAAAUUUCGUAUCGAAAGGCGUUUGCGUACGCCACGAGCGGGCAAGCUUUCGGAGGGCGUAAACAAUAAACGACAGUCGCGUGUGCGUCCUCGUCUUCGUGGACGGAGGGACGGGCUGCCCGCGGGUGUCGUCUCGGAGGGUUCGCUAC
rnacentral:misc_RNA from 1 species